CAGAGGUUUAGACGUGACUACCACUGC
rnacentral:piRNA from 1 species